UUCCAGCAGAUAUGGUCCAUGAAGGUACCUUAUUACUCACCUCUCAUCUACCUCCAGGAAUCCACCUCCCUCUCUCUAAUCAUCCUCAAAACAUGCAAACUUCCUGAUCAGGUUCCAUUUCUGAGAAGCAAAGGGAUCUCUGAAGUUAGCAUCACGAGGGAUCAACCCUUGGAAAAUCAGGUUCGUAAAUAAGCCAAAAGGGUCAGAGUAUUGAAAGCAAGUCCAUAUAAACAGCUAUGAAAAGUCUCUACAUACUAGUAUUGAAAGUCGUAUAUCAUAAAUUGCUCCACCUUGGUGAUGUUAUAUCUCGCUGUGUUUGGUUUCACAAUUUCAA
rnacentral:sRNA from 1 species